GGAGUUCCUUGCCGACGAGCCCUACUCCUUCUCAGUUCCUAGGCAUUAGGGGUUACGUCCCUAUAGGUGAGAUGCUCUCACUUGUGAUACAAUUUGCCAACUCGAUCAUGCGUAUAACAAAUAAUGACAAUUUUGUCUGGUCUGCUUUUGCAGGGUUCAACAGACGCUAUUGGAGGAGGAUAGCGAUCGGUGUUCGGCCCGCGAUUCGUGCUGUGAACAAUUGUGGGCGCUCUCGCAAGUUUUGAUAAUCUAGGUGACGUCCCCUUGUACUGUAUCAUUCUUUCGUAGCCGCUCGUCAGGGGCGCCAGUUCUUCCACCCUCUCAGAAUCCGCGACCAAGGUUCAAGGCAAGGAGCUCACUAUUGACAAGGUCCAGUGAUUUAUUCGAAAGGGAACUCUGCGAACUCUAAAGGGCUGUUGUGGUAGAGGCGAGGGCGAAAGUCUGGCUUAGCGAGUCGAGCUCCUCCAGCGGGACAUCCACUUGGGCGAUUGGGCCCUGAACGAAGAAGCGAGGCGAAGGACGGCGACGAGUUGAACAAAUCCCUGUUGCGGCUCUUUUUGUACCAGUCCCUAGUCCAUGGUUCCAGAACUAUAAAUCUCCCGAGCUCUAAUUAUGACGUCGCCCAUUUUCCCCCCCUUAUUUGUCCCCCCCCCUCGAAACAGGAGGAGAUUUUUGAGCAUUCCUACUCUCACAGUGGCAGUCAUCUCCUGGGUCUCAAUUGAACGCGAAAAAUCAUGGCCCUAAGGUGAGGAUGUCUAGGGAAGAAGCAAGCCGACGACUGAGCCACCCACACUCCCCGAAGGCCCCUGUCUAGUCUACACCAGCUCUAGCUGAAGAUCAGGUCCAUCGCGCCGUCCUUGAUGGGUGGCAAACGGAAAGGGAACCUUCGACUAAAAGGGGAAGAAAAGUGCGGGGAGAGGCCGCUGGCACACCCGAGCUAUGGGCCCCUCAAUUUGCCACUGUGGAGCUCGGCAAAAACAAGUUUGACUCAGUGGACACUUCCAAGGACCACAGACCUGUGUUGCGCUGGGCAACGCGGUGAUGCUCCCCAAACGUUCCCCAUAGCGAUCAUGCUGCUGAACACAACGACAGAAUUCGGGGGCAAGCUCGUUAUGCUGGGGCCCAGGUUAGAAUUUUCAUGUACCAGAUUUCAUUCUGACUAGCGAAUCUGAUCCACACUGUUCUUUCUAAUCCAUCUCUUUUUUCUUUUCAGUUAUUUCAGGCGGGCGGUAUCUUCCUCACUCCGCCUAAAGCACGGGCGUGGUAGAUUGAAGAAGGCGAACCAAAAGGCGGGAAUAAACCUCGAAAAGGAGUUGAAACAGGACUCAGUCCGAGCUCGCGAUGCACGUCGGCAGCGAGAUCGCGAUCCGUCAGCGGAAAACCACGCACAGCAAGAAGCAUCCGACUUGAGGCGGUUCGCUUGUGGCGAAGUGUACAAAAGCUGUUCGACGACGCUUCGAGCGGGCUGGGGACGGUUUAUGAAAGACAGCUAGCCGAGCUCCGCCCCGGCAUUUCAAGGGGGAAUGGAUUGCGGUUUUGAAAAGAGCUUCAGAUCCCACUUGACCAUCCCGCGUGGUCAUCUCCUGCCCCUCCAGUCCAACUACCGCCUCUCCGGAGCGGUAUUCACCAAUCAACCUGCCCGACUUCAACUGAAGAGGAAUAUGCGACCCUUCCUGCUAACGAGAGGGAAUACUCAACACUAUGGCAGAGAAGGCUCAAGCAGGGAUCGCGGAGGGAGACUGUUGAUAAGGACAGUUGGGGAGGCAGAGGGACGGACCGAUGUCUUAGAAGCCGAGGUGAAACCUCAUUAGGAACAAUUCCUUUGAUUGAAUCUUCUGUUGAUAUCGAAUAUUAAUCUUGUUGACUUGUAAAAUUUUUGAACAGUUAUUCACUUGCAUUUCGGGCUGACUGUUUUUACCAAUCCUUCGUGCUUUUGAUCUCGGUUUGUGACUUUAGCUCUUGUAAGAACGAUUUCCUCGAGUCUUUGAAAAUGCUGACUUCAUCUCGACAGGGUUCAUAAGGAUGCUAGCAUUACCGCGCGUGAAUUGCGCUGGACCUCACACAUGUUAACAACAAUACAUAAAAACAGGCUCGGUGGGUUCACUGAAACGUCAUGGUCCACGUUCAUGCCCCUAUUUCGACAAACGUACGUCCGUUUGAACCGACUCUUAAGUGCAUCGUCUUCCCGGUUAGUUUUUAAACGUCGCACUAAAAUUCGUUCUAAAUUAACUUUUUCGCCUUUAUUGGCAUCGUUUCGUUGCCUUCGAUGCCUUUCAAUAGUGAUGGCCCCGGACUUUUGAUGAACACAAUCCACCAUCAUUCGAACAAUCUUUUCUGAGAGCAAUCAUCUGUUCACAAAAAAUGCCUUAUCUUCUAGUCUUCCUGGGCUGUCUGUACUUGAAAAAUCCCCCUGUAAAACUCUAAGGGGGUCAAGAUGAUUUUUCUCCUAGACGUGGGUGGAUUGGCAAGCACUUCCGUCUCAUCACUUCGUUCUCAACGCUCUGUAUCGCAGCUUAUGCUUCCCAAAAGCUCUGUACCUUUUGAGCUUCAGCCCAUAAUAUUCGGCCGGCUGUGGUUCUGUUUUGAGUUGGCCUCCUCCGUCCCCUCUCACUUCCGCUGAGUAUCGGAGUCUUGUGGAGUCAUGCUUAUUUUCGAGGCACUAUCCCAAGACUUAAAGAAUCAUUUGAAGGCCCGUUUGCUCUCUUGGUAGUACUCGAUGACCGGGGUUUCCAUUAUCAUUCAGAAUGGAAGCUAGCUCGGUUAACAUGUUGCUGUGAAGACAAGUCUGACGUGGGACUCUCAACCUUUUCUUCAAGCGAAGUCCGUCUUUUACCUUGUAAUUAGAGUUGUAGUGUGUAUUCGACAGACUUGUAUCUGAACGUUUCCUUGGGUAUAUGGAAUAAAAAUGCUGAUUACUUCUCAUUUUGUUGCCACUGAAUGUUUGCAAAGUCCGUCUUCAACCUUCUAGCUUUCUUAAGUUAAAUAGAUGAAAACUAAAACAAGGGCAAUCCGGGAGCUCGGUUGAAAGUUAUCGGACAAGCUCGGCUAACCUCUUCUCGCGGUUUGAUCAAGUUAACUUGUAAAAAUUAUCGAACAAACAUAACUUGAAAAAUUAUCGGACAAGCUCGGAGGUGAUCAGCUCGGCUAGCUUCCCUCAGAUUUUACAAGUGACUACAUGACAAAGCGAUAUGAAGGCAGUUAGUCCGGUGCUUUUCGGAAGCUCGGCUACCCUUCUCGCGAUUGAUCAAGUUAAACUUGGUAAAAAUUACCGAACAAGCAUUACAACUUAAAAAAAUGGAUCGGACAAGGCGAAGCGUGCUCCAAAGCCGGCUAGAUUUCCCUCAGAUUUUUACCAAGUGAUACAUGAUCAAAGCUAAUGAAGGCAGUUCGGUGCUUUUCGGAAGCUCGGCUAACCCCUUUCGCGAUUUGAUCAAGUUAAACUUGUAAAAAAUAUCGAAACAAGCUCGGAGCGUGGUUAGCUCGGCUAGCUUUCCCCUCAGAUUUUCCAAGUGCUACUUGAUCAAAGGCGAAUGAAAGGCAAAUUCAGUGCCGUUUUUCGAAGCUGGCAACCCCUUCUCGCGAUUUGAUCAGUAAACUGUAAAAAUUAUCGAACAAGCACUACUUGUAAAAAUUAUCGGACAAGCUCGGAGCGUGAUCAAGCUCGGCUAGCUUUCCCCUCAGAUUUUACAAGGAUGCUACAUGAUCAAAGAGAAUGAAGGCAGUUCGGUGCUUUUCGAAGCCGGAUAAACCCCUUCUCGCCGAUUUUUGAUCAAGUAAACUUGUAAAAAUUAUGGACAAGAUCGGAGCGUGAUUAAGCUCGGCUAGCUUUCCCCUUAGAUUUUACCAAGUGCUACUUGCUCAAAGCGAAUGAAGGCAAUCGGUGCUUUUUCGAAAAGCUCGCUAAACCCCUCUCGCGAUUUGGAUCACGUAAAUUUGUAAAAAUUAUCGGAAAAGCUCGGGAGCGUGUAAGCUCGACUAGCUUUCCCCUUAGAUGUUACCAAGUGCGGGGGGGGGGGGGGAUAACUUGAUCAAAACGAAUGAAGCAGGGUCGAGGCGGGGGGGGUUUUCGAGCUGGCUAACCCCUUCUCGCGAUUGGAUCAAGUUAACUUGUAAAGAUUAUUAGAAUAACGCUGUAAUAUACUUACGUGAAAGAAUAAUUGAAAGAUGCAAUGCUUUUAUUACAUAUGAUGAAUCCAGUGCGGCAUAAAUUUAGUAGAAGUACUUCGCAGAUUGCGGAUGUCAAGGUCCGGGGUUUCUGUUCCUUCUGCAUCUCAGAUGUAGAACUCGUACGGUAAGUUUGAUAUUUUGUAAGGCCCCUUCCAGUUCGGUGCAAGCUGACCGUCUGUGGAUCUUGGUGUUUCAACGACUUUCCUGAGACGAGACUUCCCACUUCAAACUCUAUCCGUUGAACCUUUGGUUGAAGGGAUUUAGCCAAUUGCUUUUGAUAGUCGGCCAUUCUGAUGCGUGCAUUCUCUCUCCUUUCCUCAGCCAAGUCUAGAUCUCGGGCCAGGACCUGUGGUUGUUAGAUGUGUUGUAAGCCUCUGUCCGAAUGGUGGGCAGGACCGACCUACAGUGGAUUACGGCUUCCGAAUCCGAAAGCAGUGAGUAUGGUGUCUCAUUCGUCGCCUUCCGUGGUGUGGUCGAUAACCCAUAACACGUUUGCCAAUCUCAACCCAUCGUCCUUGGCCUUCUUAGUCGUUUUUUUGAUUCCGUUAAUGAUAGUCUGAUUUGUGGCCUCGGCUUGGCCAUUGCACUGCGGGUAGCUCGGCCGUUGAGUUGUGAAUUCAAUCUUAGUUGCUCUAACAGAACCCCUGACUUGCUUCCGACAAAAUGGGUUAUCGAUUUAUCCGACACGAAGGCCGCGGAAUGCCAAACUGGGAAGGAUGUUUAUCGCAGAUAAUCUAAUCACGUUGUCUCUCUGAUUUGUGUCAGCGGCUCAGCUUUCUACCCAGUAGUUGAAGUAAACGGUCGCCACAAGGUAAGACCUCUUGUGCCAGGAGCUCUAGGUAGGACACUACAAUAUCCAUUCCCCAUGGGCGAAGGGGCCAAGGACUAGUAAGCGGGGACAAGUCCUUGCGGGUUGAUGGUAUCAGGGGUGAUGAAAAAGAGUUGACACUUGUUGCACGCUACGCCCAUAUACCUGAGCGUCCUUCUGCAUGUAAGGCACCAUAACCCCUGUGCAAAGACUCUUGUGUGCCAAGCGAUCUUCCCCCAUAGUUGUAACGCAAAUUCCCUCAUGGAUGUCAUAAAGUACGUCUCGACGAGGCUGGAUGAAUACACAGCAAGAGGGACCUUGAUAGACCUUUGUACAAGUCUCCUGUGGGGAGAAUCCAGACCGUGCAGCCUUUGAUCCUGAUCUUGUGUGGACUCCUUUCUGUCAUUCUGGCAGCUGGUCGUCCGUAAUAGUUCACGAUAGAGUCCAUCCAGCUCGGUCGGAGUAGUUAGUCAGUUGCGUUGGUUGACAAGAAUGGAUGAUUGCGUUUCUUCUAUACUGGGGACCGAGACGACGUGACUGCUACAGUUCUGCCCGUGGUCUCAUUCAAAAAGUGGAUCUAAGAACACGCAUCUGCAUGCACGUUGAAUUCCUCCGACCUGCUCCGAUUGAACCGCUCGAAACUGACUGAGAAGGUUUUUUGCCAACUGCAAAUUAUUUCGCCCAUUUUAACCCUCGAGCUUCAAAUUUGUCGGGUCACCUGAUAUGACUAGUUUUGAAUCGCUUGUGUUUACGCACAGCUCGGCACCCAAACUAUGCGCGGACCUUAACCUGCGAUUAGAGUUCAACUCGGCUUCAUUGUUCGUCGCUAGGAAAUUAAAUCGGAGGCACUGUCGAAGACCGGCCUUCAGGACUCUUUCAAACACACACCCGUGCCUACUCCUUGGCGAUUUCUGGCUCCGUCGACGUUUACUUCUGCCAUGCCACAGAAGGCUCUACCUGAGGUGGUUUUUAAAGUAAACUUUGCUCCCUCAAGUAGUUCCUUAGUUCAGCGGGGUCUAUUUCUCUGGUAGCUAUGGAUUGACCUCGGUAUUCUCUCCUGUAGUUGUGAGCCGGACGGUGCAUUUGUGAGUUCUUCCCCUUCUCCAAGGUUUGGAUUGGAUCGGCCCUGGGAUUUCUGCCUGGGGGAAACUCUGCCACGAGCUGCCAUACCUGCCCUUGAUACCGCCCUUGGUAGAAGCUUUGUCCAAACCUGUCCCAAGUUCUAGGGACAUUAGAGAGUCGUCCCGUAGGUUGUUCAUCAAUAUGGCCUUGAGCGGGAACCGGUUGUACACCGGAGGGGUUUGCUUGAAAAUAGUGCAUGAGACUGGCGUUGAGGUCACCACUAGGGCCAGAACAAGCUUUCCAGUGGCAAUAUCGUGUCUAACAAUCAGUCAGUGUUUUGCUCACAAAUAAAUCGGGCGCGGCUCGUUGACCACCUCUCUUAACAAAACCGAGCUCACCGCGUGUUCGGACAUAGCAAGAUAAACGUGGAGCAGCUCUCCUUCAUCCGAGGUGGAUAGAAGUGGCGGUUUUGUAAGAUAUUUUUUGAAUUAUUGGAGCCGCCACCUCGGACUCCUCAUCCAACGAGACAUUAGUAGUUUUGGCGCAAGAGCUGAAAAAUGGGCGACAUUUGUCAGAAACUACUGAUAAAACGAUGAGUGCUGACUGCCAUCUGGGGAGUUUCUGACUUCUUGCAUUCCUGGGCUGUCUAUCUGGUCUAUGGCAGCAAUCUAUUCUGGGUCUGCUUCAAUUCCUCGCCAGUGACUAGAUGCCCAAGGAAUUUCCACGAGCCCACACUAAGGCACACUUCGCCGGCAUUGAGUUUGAAGCUUGGUUGCGGAGGAUGCGAAUAUCUCGACAAGUCCCUGAGGUGAUCCGAAGUCUUCUUGCUUUUCACCACCAUUGUUCAUCGAUGAUAGGCAUUCAUGGUCUUCCCCAAGACGUGAUUGACAUCUUGUACCAUUCUUUGGUAUUGGCCCCGCAUUCUUGAGCCCAAAAGGCAGACUUUAUAGCAAAAUACUCCCCUGGGGGUCAUGAAUGCAGUCUUCUCUUGAUGAUACGUCCGUGCAGAGCAAUUUGAUGAAUCCUCUGUACGCGUUGAGGAAACUCAUUCGGGGCAUGUCCCGAGGUGCUGGAUUGUCAAACCACUGAUUAUCUUUGCAGUGGGAAACAGUCUUUGGGUCGCCCUCCUUGGCACUCUAUUGGCUGGCUCCUUCUCUCCUGAUUCAUCUUGGAAGAUGUAUACUGUCUGCCGGACCGGUCGUCCAUGAGCCGGUGUCAACCCAAAAUCUGAGCCAUUUGCGUCGCUGUGCUUGCAGUCGUCCUAUAUGUGACAUGCCGUUGUCUCUUGCGCCGAGGGAUAAACCGACCCAGGCUUCUGCUUUGAGGUGGGGCCUGCCGCCCUCUACGCAUCAGCCCAAUAGUUUACCCCUCUGUCCCCAGGCGUUAGGGACAUGUGGGGUUCUCCCCGGGGGUUCGACGACUGCCGGAAUAGUCUUCUCCCUCAGAAGUCAUGGGUGACGUCC
rnacentral:lncRNA from 1 species